AUUGAACGCUGGCGGCAGGCCUAACACAUGCAAGUCGAGCGGAUGAAGGGAGCUUGCUCCUGGAUUCAGCGGCGGACGGGUGAGUAAUGCCUAGGAAUCUGCCUGGUAGUGGGGGAUAACGUCCGGAAACGGGCGCUAAUACCGCAUACGUCCUGAGGGAGAAAGUGGGGGAUCUUCGGACCUCACGCUAUCAGAUGAGCCUAGGUCGUAUUAGCGAGUUGGUGGGGUAAAGGCCUACCAAGGCGACGAUCCGUAACUGGUCUGAGAGGAUGAUCAGUCACACUGGAACUGAGACACGGUCCAGACUCCUACGGGAGGCAGCAGUGGGGAAUAUUGGACAAUGGGCGAAAGCCUGAUCCAGCCAUGCCGCGUGUGUGAAGAAGGUCUUCGGAUUGUAAAGCACUUUAAGUUGGGAGGAAGGGCAGUAAGUUAAUACCUUGCUGUUUUGACGUUACCAACAGAAUAAGCACCGGCUAACUUCGUG
rnacentral:rRNA from 1 species